UGAUAAUUAGUUUAAAUUAAAAUA
rnacentral:tRNA from 1 species